GAUGAACGCUAGCUACAGGCUUAACACAUGCAAGUCGCAGGGUAACAUGAGGAAAGCUUGCUUUCCUUGAUGACGACUGGCGCACGGGGGAGUAACGCGUAUCCAACCUUCCCAUAACUACGGGAUAACCCGUUGAAAGACGGCCUAAUACCGUAUGAUAUCGUUUGCUGACAUCAAAUAACGAUUAAAGGUUUAGCGGUUAUGGAUGGGGAUGCGUCUGAUUAGCUUGUUGGCGGGGUAACGGCCCACCAAGGCGACGAUCAGUAGGGGUUCUGAGAGGAAGGUCCCCCACAUUGGAACUGCGACACGGUCCAAACUCCUACGGGAGGCAGCAGUGAGGAAUAUUGAGCACUGGGCGAGAGCCUGAACCAGCCAAGUAGCGUGCAGGAUGACGGCCCUAUGGGUUGUAAACUGCUUUUAUGUGGGGAUAAAGUGCGUGACGCGUCAUGCAUUGCAGGUACCACAUGAAUAAGGACCGGCUAAUUCCGUG
rnacentral:rRNA from 1 species